AUUAACUUGCAGAUGUUCAAUUAUGGAUUUUUAUAAAUAAACAUAUUUAAAAAACGGGGGAUUUCUGAACAUCUAGAAAUGUAUGAAAACAGAGCAUGGACUUGAAUAUUGCUCUCCAGAAUGUGUAGAUGUAUAGAUAUCUUCUAUUUAUUUUAUUGUAUAUUUAAUGUACAUAUUCAUGUAAUUUCUGUUCAUUUACAGGUUUUAUAGAAAUUUCAUUUGACUUGUUUGGACACUCAAGUGUGUGUGUGUGUGUGUGUGUGUGUGUGUGUGUGGAAACACUGCACACUAAUUCCUUUCAUAUAAUCUUUAUUCUUUAUUAGGAAUUUGUUUCUUUUCUGACUGUUAAAUGUUAAACCUCCUCUCUUCAGAUUUCACACACACACACACACACACACACACACACACACACACACACACACACACACACAGAAAAACAUAAACACACAAGCGAACAUUUUUAACACAUGAGCCAGAAAAACGACUACGAAAAGCACAUCAACAAUAACUUUCCAUGGGAACUAAAUUCAUUUACAGGUUUGAUGUGUUUUAUGAAUUCGUACUCGCUAUUAGUAGAAAAUAACACCGCUGUGUUGUUAAUGUGAUGAAUCCAGAUGUUACACCAUCAUCACUUCACCUCUGGUCAGGAGUUUGAUUUAGAUUACAAUCUCUGCACAAACAUCAGAACAUCAGAUUUCUAUAAAAGUAAGAACUGAUCAAAUGGACAUGCUUAAGCCAUUUACACGCACGUUAGUGUUAGCUAACGUGAUGACGUCAUAAUACACGCAAUCGCCACACGAAACCUGUGACGUAUAAUGCUAAUGUGGUGUAAUUUUCUAGAAGGUCGUGCCAUGAAAAUCAGAGCUACAACUUAAAGCUUCAAGUUUGCGGUUUAAAUACGCAACAAAUGGAAUAAGAGAGAGAUUAAUUUCAAAACCGGUUUAAUUUCAAAACCAAGUCUUCACGUGCUAGCUAAUCGUGUAAAGAACAAUGUUGUGAUGUAAGCCUCUUGUUGUGACGUCACUCCGACUUGGGACGGGGUUUAUUUGAUUAGUUUUCACCAUGUAACACAAAUCCUCCCUCUGAGUAGGUGACCAGAGCAUAACACACUCCAUCUGAACUCUAUGGUCUGAGUAAACCACACACACGCACACACACACACACACACUCCCUGUGAUCAGGUGUGAUAAUGAUAUAAAUCUAAAAGAGAAAUUCAUUGUAAGCUCAUUAUUAUUUGUUUGUUUGUAUUUACUGCAGCAGCUUUACUGUAUUGCUGGAAGAAACCGAACUUAAAUAUCGUGAUGUGCAUCAAAUUCUCAGACACCCUGUAGAAGAAUCAAAUGAGGCUGAGUGCUCACACACCUACCAGGUUCAUCCUCAUUAUGGAGAAGUUCCUGGUGCAGUGAACUGAUUUUCUGCGGUCUGCUUUAUGGGAAUCGUCCGAGUGAAGAAAAGUUCCCUUGAGUUCUUUAUUCCCUGAAGUGAUCGCACUUUAAAAACAUCUGAAAUUCUCAGCAUUGAUUCAAACGUCUAUCAUCUGAGGAUCUGCAGCCAAUCAGCACCACCCGCUGGUCAAAAAUUACCAGGAGGACACUGGGGACUGACGAGACGUCUCCCUGUCACACAUCUUUAACUCCACUCUGUGUGGCCACUGAUGGGAACAACGUUUUCCUCUUUUCUCAUGGGUGAGAGAUGCUUAUCUCAGGAUCAUCAACAGGACCCACAGAUGAGACUCUGCACUCCUCCUGUCCAUCAUUUUCUGAGCUGUUUGUGUAAGUGAAUGUCUUGAACACGUUGUUGUGGAUUUAAAACGUUAUGUGAAGGUGCAAAAAAUACUGUAUAAAGUGUUUAUGAAAUAGAAAUAUAUUAUAAACAGAAUUGAAAAUUAUAAUAAACCUAAAAUCUAUUAACAGGCAGACAUUUUUUACCCUUAAAGUUUGAGGCCAAAACUAUAAACUAAAGCAUCACUGAAAAAACCCACACGCCUCAGUUUGAUCAUUAAAGCCACUUGCUGAAGGGGUCUGAGGGUAAAACACCAGCACCAGCAUUCAGGCUGAUAUGAGAUCAGAGCAACUCUUCUGCUUGUGUUCAGGAGGAGGGAUGACAAAAGCACUUGACCCUUUAACACCCCAUUCAGGGUCCUAUUGUGUACACGGCUGUGCUUUGUGGUUUGGGACAUGGCCCGAGACAUAAAUCUUAGCACUGUGUGUGAGAACUGAGCCAUCACAGACCAUCACACACCAUCA